rnacentral:rRNA from 1 species
UAGGGAAUCUUCGGCAAUGGGGGGAACCCUGACCGAGCAACGCCGCGUGAGUGAAGAAGGUUUUCGGAUCGUAAAGCUCUGUUGUUAAGGAAGAACGAGUGUGAGAAUGGAAAGUUCAUACUGUGACGGUACUUAACCAGAAAGGGACGGCUAACUACGUGCCAGCAGCCGCGGUAAUACGUAGGUCCCGAGCGUUGUCCGGAUUUAUUGGGCGUAAAGCGAGCGCAGGCGGUUAGAUAAGUCUGAAGUUAAAGGCAGUGGCUCAACCAUUGUAGGCUUUGGAAACUGUUUAACUUGAGUGCAGAAGGGGAGAGUGGAAUUCCAUGUGUAGCGGUGAAAUGCGUAGAUAUAUGGAGGAACACCGGUGGCGAAAGCGGCUCUCUGGUCUGUAACUGACGCAGAGGCUCGAAAGCGUGGGGAGCGAACAGG